CCUACGGGAGGCAGCAGUGAGGAAUAUUGGUCAAUGGCCGGAAGGCUGAACCAGCCAUGCCGCGUGAAGGUCAGUGCCCUAUGGGCGUUAAACUUCUUUUGUGCGGGAGCCUUAAUGGUCACGUGUGGCCAGACGAGAGUACCGCACGAAUAAGCAUCGGCUAACCCCGUGCCAGCAGCCGCGGUAAUACGGGGGAUGCAAGCGUUAUCCGGAUUUAUUGGGUUUAAAGGGUGCGUAGGCUGGGAGGUAAGUCAGCGGUGAAAAGCCCCCGCUCAACGGGGUGAAGUGCCAUUGAUACUGCCUUGAUGGAAUGCGGAUACCGUGGGAGGAAUGUGUGGUGUAGCGGUGAAAUG
rnacentral:rRNA from 1 species